rnacentral:lncRNA from 1 species
ACAGCUGGUUAAGUACAGAGGGCAGGCCUGGGAGGCACACUGGAGGCCGCCUCCCGCAGGAGGCAGGUGUCACCCAGUGUCCCUCCUUCUGCAGUGCACUCUCUGGUGUGCUUCUCCUGCGUCAACCAGAACAGCAAUCUCUACUGUCUGAAGCCCACCGUCUGCUCCUCUUCUGACAACUACUGUGUGACUAUAUCUGCCUCUGCUGGCAUUGGUGAGUGCUGGCCAGGAGCACCUCAGCCUCGCCCACCCGACCCCUUGGCUGUCUCCCAUGGCCAGUGCGACCCCUCACAGUCUGGUUUUCCUGCAGGGAAUGUCGUGGACUUUGGACACACCCUGAACAAGGGCUGCUCCCCCAUCUGCCCUGGUCCUAGCGUCAAUCUCGGCGUGGCGUCUGUGGGCACCCACUGCUGCCAGAGCUUCCUGUGCAAUUUCAGUGCCGCCGGCCGGGGACCGCGGGCCAGCACCGCACUGCUCGGCCUCGGGCUCCUGCUCAGCUUGCUCUCUGUUCUGCUGAGACUGGGCCCCUGACCUUCUGGACCUGAGUCCCCCAUGUCCCCCAGCUCAGGAAGAAAAGCCCCAUCCCUCGCAGAUCCCAGGAGGCUAUUGGAGCCUCCAGCUCCUUGGCGUGCCUGAUCCCCCCACCUUGGGCCAGAACCACCCCCUGCACCUACCCCUGCACAGCCCCUACCCCAUGUGGGGCCAGCCGCCCUCACUUCUGCAACCAAUUGUGUGACCUUUCUCAAGGAACCAGGACGGGAUGAGGGUUCCCCUGAAGUCUUAGGGUCCCCAAGGGCAGGACUGAGCCUUGUGGACACCAGAGGGACAUUUAAGCCAUCAGCCCUAGGCGCACUGAGUGUGGGGUGGUGGCAGACACCAGCGUUUUGUGAAUGUUUAGGUGCGAGUCCCUGGGAUGGUGUUGUGAGAGGGACAGGAGAGUCCCGGGCAGCAGCAGCCCCCGGAACCCUGAUUCACCAGACCCCCCCAUCUGCACCCACAUUGCACUCACUUCAGGGGUAGCCUUUAGGGGCGGGGGGCUCCCAGUGCUUCCAGGCAUGGGCUCCCAGCCCAGGUCCUGCUGAGCCCUGCCUGGCCCUCCUUGCUCCUGCACUGGCACCCCGCUGCUGCCUCAGUGCCUCAAUAAAACGUUGCCACCCCUCUUGACUACGGUAGUUG